AUCGACUUAGCUCUGUUUGUUGCCAUGGAGUACGUUGGACCGGCAUAUCAUUGGCAGGCCAAAGCAACAGAAGUCGUAUGGAGAUCAGUGUCGCGUUGAUCACACUGUAAGUUACCGGUAAAAGUAAAUUACUGUUUCUCUUUCUUUGCUAAGGAUUCUCCUUUAUGUUCACUGCCUGAUGAAACCACAUAACCUGCUCCAACCUGGCAAUCUCUCAGUACGACACGUUCUUGGAGCUGUACAUUACUGCAAACAACAGAACCUUGGAUUGAACAACCAUCUGCGAUAGUAACAUGGUCCAUUAUGACUGAGUUGACAACCUUCACAUUCGAGCCGAUCCGACAAUGUCGGCCAAUGACGGACUUUUUCACGCUGCAUUUGUCACCCAUUUGUGAACCUUCUCUGUAGUUUUUGAACCAAGCUCGGCUGUAGGAUGAAUGAUGUUGUUCUGAGGAGAGAAAGAAUAGCCUGACAAGUGACUUGCAUCACCUAUGACAUCUCGAUUUAUGUCAUUGAAGGCUUGAAUAGAGUUUAAGCGAACGCAGUAAUUGCUCUUGCUGGCAAUAUGUACACAGCAUUUGUGAGUUUUUCUUGGAGACAGAGCAGAACCAUCAGAACCCAGAGCAUAUAGCUCAUGAAAACUUUGUGUAGAAGCAUUGGUCAGCAGUUGUGACAGCAUAAUUGUACUAUCAGAAACACCCUUAGAAUUCCCAUUCUCUUCUGCUACCGCUCCGUUUUGUGAUAAUUCAGAUCUUAACUGGCUCCUCACAAGAUAAGGCAACACAUCACGCCGCAAGCUCAGAAAAGUUUCUUUCUUAUUCAGAACCUCUUGCAAAACGGUUCUCUUGAAGGCAUACAUAUGAGCAUCCAUUAGA
rnacentral:misc_RNA from 1 species